rnacentral:rRNA from 1 species
CGGACGGGUGAGUAAUGUCUGGGAAACUGCCCGAUGGAGGGGGAUAACUACUGGAAACGGUAGCUAAUACCGCAUAAUGUCUGCGGACCAAAGCGGGGGACCUCCGGGCCUCGCGCCAUCAGAUGAACCCAUAUGGGAUUAGCUAGUAGGUAAGGUAACGGCUUACCUAGGCGACGAUCCCUAGCUGGUCUGAGAGGAUGAUCAACCACACUGGGACUGAGACACGGCCCAG